AUUCAUCCGCGGGUGGGGAUUUGUGGCAUUACUUGUGUUCCAUAUAAAGUAUUGCACUUGUCCCGGCCUGUGGAAGAAAG
rnacentral:pre_miRNA from 12 species